rnacentral:rRNA from 1 species
GACGAACGCUGGCGGCGUGCUUAACACAUGCAAGUCGAACGGAAAGGCCCUGCUUUUGUGGGGUGCUCGAGUGGCGAACGGGUGAGUAACACGUGAGUAACCUGCCCUUGACUUUGGGAUAACUUCAGGAAACUGGGGCUAAUACCGGAUAGGAGCUCCUGCUGCAUGGUGGGGGUUGGAAAGUUUCGGCGGUUGGGGAUGGACUCGCGGCUUAUCAGCUUGUUGGUGGGGUAGUGGCUUACCAAGGCUUUGACGGGUAGCCGGCCUGAGAGGGUGACCGGCCACCUUGGGACUGAGAUACGGACCAGACUCCUACGUGAGGCAGCAGUGGGGAAUAUUGCACAAUGGGCGGAAGCCUGAUGCAGCCACGCCGCGUGCGGGAUGACGGCCUUCGGGUUGUAAACCGCUUUCGCCUGUGACGAAGCGUGAGUGACGGUAAUGGGUAAAGAAGCACCGGCUAACUACGUG